rnacentral:rRNA from 1 species
UACGGGGGGAGCAAGCGUUGUUCGGAUUUACUGGGCGUAAAGGGCGCGUAGGCGGCGCAACAAGUCACUUGUGAAAUCUCCGGGCUUAACCCGGAGCGGCCAAGUGAUACUGUCGUGCUAGAGUGCGGAAGGGGCUACUGGAAUUCUCGGUGUAGCGGUGAAAUGCGUAGAUAUCGAGAGGAACACCUGCGGCGAAGGCGGGUAGCUGGGCCGACACUGACGCUGAGGCACGAAAGCGUGGGGAGCAAACAGG